rnacentral:tRNA from 1 species
GGUUGUAGCUCAGUGGUACAGUGCUUGCCUUGCAUGUGUGAAGUACUAGGUUCAAUUCUCAGCACCA